GGGUUGUGAGGUUAAGCGACUAAGCGUACACGGUGGAUGCCCUGGCAGUCAGAGGCGAUGAAGGACGUGCUAAUCUGCGAUAAGCGUCGGUAAGGUGAUAUGAACCGUUAUAACCGGCGAUUUCCGAAUGGGGAAACCCAGUGUGAUUCGUCACACUAUCAUUAACUGAAUCCAUAGGUUAAUGAGGCGAACCGGGGGAACUGAAACAUCUAAGUACCCCGAGGAAAAGAAAUCAACCGAGAUUCCCCCAGUAGCGGCGAGCGAACGGGGAGCAGCCCAGAGCCUGAAUCAGUGUGUGUGUUAGUGGAAGCGUCUGGAAAGGCGCGCGAUACAGGGUGACAGCCCCGUACACAAAAAUGCACAUACUGUGAGCUCGAUGAGUAGGGCGGGACACGUGGUAUCCUGUCUGAAUAUGGGGGGACCAUCCUCCAAGGCUAAAUACUCCUGACUGACCGAUAGUGAACCAGUACCGUGAGGGAAAGGCGAAAAGAACCCCGGCGAGGGGAGUGAAAAAGAACCUGAAACCGUGUACGUACAAGCAGUGGGAGCACGCUUAGGCGUGUGACUGCGUACCUUUUGUAUAAUGGGUCAGCGACUUAUAUUCUGUAGCAAGGUUAACCGAAUAGGGGAGCCGAAGGGAAACCGAGUCUUAACUGGG
rnacentral:rRNA from 1 species